rnacentral:tRNA from 1 species
GCCUGAGUGGCUCAGUCGGUUGAGCAUCCGACUUCGGGUCAGGUCAUGAUCUCAUGGUUUAUGGGUUCGAGCCCCACAUCAGGCU